rnacentral:rRNA from 1 species
GUAAGGGAUAUUGCGACAAUGGGCGAAAGCCUGACGCAGCAACGCCGCGUGCGGGAUGACGGCCUUCGGGUUGUAAACCGCUUUUCUGGGGGAAGAGGAAGGACGGUACCUCAGGAAGAAGUCUCGGCUAACUACGUGCCAGCAGCCGCGGUAAAACGUAGGAGGCGAACGUUAUCCGGAUUUACUGGGUGUAAAGCGCGUGCAGGCGGCGGCGUAAGUGGUGCGUGAAAGCGCUCAGGCUCAACCGGGCGAGGCCGUGCCAGACUGCGCAGCUAGAGGCAGGUAGAGGCGUGUGGAAUUCCGGGUGUAGUGGUGAAAUGCGUAGAGAUCCGGAGGAACACCAGUGGCGAAGGCGACACGCUGGGCCUGAACUGACGCUCAGACGCGAAAGCAUGGGGAGCGAACGGGAUUAGAAACCCCAGUAGUCC